UUGCCCUAGUAACGGCGAGUGAAGCGGCAACAGCUCAAAUUUGAAAUCUGGCUCCUUUGGGGUCCGAGUUGUAAUUUGUAGAGGGUGCUUUGGCGUUGGUUGUGGUCUAAGUUCCUUGGAACAGGACGUCACAGAGGGUGAGAAUCCCGUACGUGGCCGCCAGCCUCCGCCGUGUAAAGCCCCUUCGAUGAGUCGAGUUGUUUGGGAAUGCAGCUCUAAAUGGGAGGUAAAUUUCUUCUAAAGCUAAAUAUUUGCCAGAGACCGAUAGCGCACAAGUAGAGUGAUCGAAAGAUGAAAAGCACUUUGGAAAGAGAGUCAAAAAGCACGUGAAAUUGUUGAAAGGGAAGCGCUUGCAGCUAGACGUGCCUUGGGUUGAUCAGCCGGACUUUUGCCCGGUGCACUCUUCCUUUGGCAGGCCAGCAUCAGUUUGGGCGGCUGGAUAAAGGUCUGUUAAACGUGACUUCCUUCGGGGAGAGCUUAUAGGGCAGACGACACGCAGCCAGCCUGAACUGAGGUCCGCGCAUCUGCUAGGAUGCUGGCGUAAUAGCUGUAAGCGGCCCGUCUUGAAACACGGACCAAGGAGUCUAACAUCUAUGCGAGUGUUUGGGUGUCAAGCCCGAGCGCGUAAUGAAAGUAAACGGAGGUGGGAACCUUUUAGGUGCACCAUCGACCGAUCCUGAUGUCUUCGGAUGGAUUUGAGUAAGAGCAUAGCUGUUGGGACCCGAAAGAUGGUGAACUAUGCCUGAAUAGGGUGAAGCCAGAGGAAACUCUGGUGGAGGCUCGCAGCGGUUCUGACGUGCAAAUCGAUCGUCAAAUUUGGGCAUAGGGGCGAAAG
rnacentral:rRNA from 1 species